UGGACCACUGGGCUGGGACCCACGACCCCACCACCACGCCUGGAGGACGCGCAGCGGCGCCUCGGCCUUGGAAGGGGAGUUUCCCAGCGCGAGCCCCGCCCUUCCCCGCCCGGGAGGCGCCUCGGGGCGGGGUCACUGGCCGGGAGGCCCCGCCUUCCGCCCGAAAGCGCCGGUGCACCCCGCAGGCCCUGCCCGUGGGUCCACAGGCCGGAUCCCCGGGUUCCUAGGCUGGGACUGCUUCUCAGAACCACUCUGUCGUUUUUAAGCAGGGUCACACACUCUAGCUCACUGGGUCCAUUUUAAUUUCUAUUAAACAUUUUUUUUUUUUUGCAAAUGAUGUAGUAGGAGAUCCAAGGUGUUUGGUUAAUGAUUUAUUCACUCAUUAGUCAUUCCACAAACUUGUCUUGAGCACCUGUUAUGUACCCAGCACUGUGCUGGAAUGCUGAGGAGACAGGAGUGAAGUAAAAAGACAUGGUUCCGGCAGGAAACAGGCAAGGAGAGCCUUGACUUGGUAGGGCUAACACAGUGCUACACAGGAGGGACGCCCGCUCGGUGUCGGGGGUCAGCAAAGCUUCCUUAAGGACCACUAGGUUGAGACAAGAAGGAUGAGUAUGGGAUUAGCCAGGAAAGGGAAAAGGGCAGUGGGAACUGGAAGAGAAGAGCCUUCUAGGACUGGGAAAGAGCAAGUGCCGGGUCAGGAGAGAGGACAUAGCAGUGAGGAGGCAGUAGGUAUGGAUGAAUGAGCAGAGGAAGUGGGGAGAGAUUAAGGUGCUUUCAGAAACGGGUUGGAAACCAGUUUAGUGAGUUUGGAUGGCAUUUACCUAAAGGCAAUGUUAGAGUCAUCGAAAGUUUUUAAUCAGGCAAGUGGUAUGAUCAGUUUUUUGUUUUGUUUUGUUUUUUUUGAGACGGAGUCUGGCUAUAUCGCCAGGCUGGAAUGCAAUGGCGCGAUCUCUCCUCACUGCAACCUCCGCCUCCCGGGUUCAAGCGAUUCUCCUGCCUCAGCACCUCGAGUAGCUGGGACUACAGGCGCGCGCCACCACGCCCAGGUAAUAAGAGGAAAUAACUCUACAUUCAAAUUUGAGCAGGGCACUUGGUGACCUACUUAGACAUGACAUUCCUUGGCCUCCCUUUCAGCAAGAUGAGAAAACUGAGGCACAGAGAGGUGAAAUAAGGCCCCCAGAAUGCUCUUCUCCAAGACUUAGAAAAAUCAAAUGCUAUCCAUCCCUCAAGAUACAUCCCUCCAGCCCCUCCUUGAAGUCUCCUGCAGCUAGAAGUAGAAGUAGCAUCUAUCCCCAUCUGGACUCCUUAGCACUUUGCUGUACCUGCCUUAGUCCCCAUCUCUUUACACACACACACACACACACACACACACACACAGAGUAUUAUAAUACUAUUACCUAUUAUAUUACAUUAUAUUAUUGUAGUUCUACAGGAACUACAAGGAAUUCUACUGUGAAUUCCUUAAGGGUGGGAUACAUUUUACAAUCAUCACUGUUUCUCUCAUUAGUUGUGGAAUCAAAAAAAUGAGUGCACGAUGAAAAAUUAUUCAAACACAUACAUGCUUUCAUUCCAAUUGAAAAUGUAAAAAUAUUACUGUUAAAACAAUAUUAAAGGACAUGUAAUACAAUUCAAAUAUUCCUACCAUGCACGAUUGUUUUCACUUCUUUGUGCCUCUUUCACCAUUUAUUUGUGUGCAUACUCAGCAUAUUUGUUUGUGUAACAGGAUGUUAAAAAUAGAAUUUGUUGCCUGUAGUUUUUGCUAAAGCUCUACUAGACUGGAACAGAACAAUAGGUGGUAAAUACUCCAUUCCUCAGUGAGAUGCUACCUACCUAUGCAGAGCUGGAAAAGAUUUUGCAACCUGAAAACCCAAUCCUUUCUGAGAUAUAAAAGAACAGAAGAGUCUGGAAGUGAUUUCUUCGGAGAAAUUCAUUUUCUUAUUCCAGAGAAGAAACUUCAAGCUCAGAAUAUUGGCUACUACCUGUGAUAAACAUUUAAAUUAUUGGAACGAGAGAGUUUUUAUAACUAAAUUUGAAAGAAGCAAUUUUUUUUAUCAAAGACCAACCCGAAGAUUCAUGACCACUACCUGUGAUUUCAUCCAUGUUGCAAGGAAAAUCCUGCCCCACUUCCCCAAUAGGAAGAGUGGUGGGGGAAUAAUAAAGUUGUUUUAUGAUGCAUCCUGUGGACUUCUACUCGACAGAAUGGUAACAUUCAACUGUAAUCAGGAUGAGCAAGCCACUUUAUUAAACUAAAAUUUUAAACUUUAAUAAAUAUAAUACAAACUGAAAAAUAAAAAUAAUUUUUCAACUCUACACAAGUAUGUUAACUGCAUAAACAGUGAGAUGUUACACAGGGCUGAGGCCUAUACUUCUUCAGUUUGUACAUUAAACGUCUCCAUGGAGGGUCAAUUGCAUCCUACCUAUUCUGACAGUUAUCAGGUAGCGAGAGAUUUGAGGAAGAGGCGCUUUUCUAAUCUGGGGUAGGAAAAGGAAUGAUACCAUGUAUCAUGAGAAGUAUUUGCACAUAGUGUGUCAAUUAAGCAAGUGCUCAGACUAUUAACAACAUUACUAUGUGAUGAAUGUUUAUACAGUGGAUUCAAAAAUAAGCUUCUUUCCAGAAAGCAGCUUAGUUUUCAUUAAUUAUUACCAGCAUCUUGGUAAUUAUUUAUUUAAUGGUUUAAAAGUUAAAGUUUCAAUCUAUAUUUGUUUUUUUAACAUCAGCCAAGGAAAUACAUGUCUGUUAUACUGCAUCUUUGGAAGUAUGCAAUAAGUGUAACUAUUGAAUCUAUAUUGAAGAGCCACAAGACACUGAAUUUAAUUGGACGAGACUAUUUUAUUUAGGAAGACAAUCAUCUCCUGUGAUCAGCUUAAGGUUUUUGUUUUGUUUUAUCUGGAACAAGCUAAGUUCAUAUUUAGAAAAUAAAGUUAGUUUUUUGGGUGCAUGAGUUUUAGAGUAAAUUAGUAAUUUAGUAAACUUUGACAUUUCCACUUUGUCUCCAAACACAUUUAAAUUCUAUCUGUCUGACUGAAGUUCUAAGGCAUUCUGUGGUUACUUAGAAAUGAUUCCUUAUAUUAAUGUUUACAAAUGCUAAAUUGUAUUUGUUAAAUACAUGUCUUAUUGCCUAAGAGUUUUCCUUUCUUAUAAGUUUAAUAUAAAUGUCUAGGAAAUAAGACUCCCAUUUAAUAGCUUAUAAAGAAUGCUGAUGUAUCAGCAGUGGCCUUGACAUUAUUGGAUACAAGUAAGAUCUACACUGAUGAUUAAAUCAAAUUGGCUAAGAUUAUUCGUUCUAAUAAAAGCACUGACUCCAUGAAGUUUUCUUGUGGCUGAAAUUAACAUUCGUGUUCCUACAAGCUCUUUAAAAUCUUAGUUACUGAAAAUUAUUCCUUUUGACCUAAUUUUUUCUUUACUUUGGAUGUAUUUGACAAGGUAGAGGUUAGGGAUUGGAGAGUAUGUAAAGAAUGAAAUAAAAUGUAGUCACUUUUAACUAUAUCCACAUA
rnacentral:lncRNA from 10 species